UACAGAGGUGGCAAGCGUUGUUCGGAAUUACUGGGCGUAAAGGGCGCGUAGGCGGCCUUAUAAGUCUCGUGUGAAAGCCCUCGGCUUAACUGAGGAUCUGCACGGGAUACUGUAGGGCUCGAGUUCGGGAGAGGAAAGCGGAAUUCCGGGUGUAGCGGUGAAAUGCGUAGAUAUCCGGAGGAACACCAGUGGCGAAGGCGGCUUUCUGGACCGACACUGACGCUGAUGCGCGAAAGCUAGGGGAGCAAACGGG
rnacentral:rRNA from 1 species